rnacentral:lncRNA from 1 species
GAUCAAGCGCCUGCCACUGAAGCUUACCGGUUUGGGAAUGGAAGGCGAGAACGAAAAGGUUGGGGUGGGAAAGCGUUUUCUUUGAGAAGAUAAAAGAGGGAUUGGUAAUUGCUCUGUUCCAGGUGGAAGAAACAGAGCGCGAGAGAGCCUGGUAAGGGUAGGGAACGUGAAGAAGACAUAGCUCUGCAACUUCGUUGGGCAAACCCGGAAUAAGGUCUCUGUGUUCCUUUUCUCCUUCGAAGUAAACCAUGAUGUUUGGUUCGCAACGAUGAAAUGAAGAACAGCAAAGAGAAGAGAGAAGAGAUGAUAAAGGAGAGAAGAAAUAAAAGUGUGAAUGAUUGAGUUGGGAUGAUGGAUGAUAGAUGAUAGAUGAUAGAUGAUGGGAACUGCAGUGGAAGUGGGGCCAUGCCGUUUGUGGGCCCAUAUCGAUCACUCCUAAUAUAUAACAUUUCAUGCUUUUUCCCCCUUUCACUCUUUUUCACCCUUCAAUUUUAUAAACUAAAUUUUUAAAACUCAUAAAAUGGAAACUAAUUAAUUUAUGUUCUAUAAAUAAUAUUUCUUUUAAGUAU